rnacentral:rRNA from 1 species
CCCUUAGAUGUUCUGGGCUGCACGCGCGCUACACUGAAGCUAUCAACACGUUUUCCCUCCCUGAGAAGGACGGGUAACCUUUUGAAUCAGCUUCGUGGUAGGGAUCGGGGCUUGCAAUUGUUCCCCGUGAACCAGGAAUUCCUAGUAGACGCGAGUCAUAAGCUCGCAUCGAUUAAGUCCCUGCCCUUUGUACACACCGCCCGUCGCUACUACCGAUUGAACGUUUUAGUGAGGCAUUUGGACCGACGCAUCUCAGUUUAACCGCUGGUUUGUGUUGGAAAGACUUCCAAACUUGAGCGUUUAGAGGAAGUGAAAGUCGUAACA